rnacentral:rRNA from 1 species
AGAGUUUGAUCCUGGCUCAGAUUGAACGCUGGCGGCAUGCUUUACACAUGCAAGUCGAACGGCAGCACGGGGGCAACCCUGGUGGCGAGUGGCGAACGGGUGAGUAAUGCAUCGGAACGUAUCCUUGAGUGGGGGAUAACGCAGCGAAAGUUGUGCUAAUACCGCAUAAGCUCUGAGGAGGAAAGCGGGGGACCGAAAGGCCUCGCGCUGAAGGAGCGGCCGACGUCCGAUUAGCUAGUUGGUGAGGUAAUGGCGCACCAAGGCGACGAUGGGUAGCCGGCCUGAGAGGGUGAACGGCCACACUGGGACUGAGAUACGGCCCAGACUCCUACGGGAGGCGAC